GGGGCUUGUGGCAACGGCCCACCGCAGGGUUGGCUGACUUGAGAAGCUGCGAAGAUGGCGGAGUAAGGCGUGCCGCUGUAAACUGGCCUUUGGGCCGGGGGCGGGUAGCCCCCGGGAGGCCGAGUGCAUCUGUUGGACCGUUGAAGGAGAAGAAAAAAAAGAGAUCGGCCAGAGGAAAGGAACUAACCAAACAUUCUUCCUCCCUACCUUACAGAGGGGAGUGGUCAUCUACACUAAAGCAAAGUGUCACGCGCAUCCCUGUGAAGAGACCACCAAACAGGCUUUGUGUUCCUUAUCACAGGAAGAAAAUUUUCCUUGACCUUUAGGUGCUUUUAUAUUCAUCUCAAAAACAAAAUUCUGAACUCAGGACUUGGCAAGCUGGAGUGCAAUGGUGCAAUCUCGGCUCACUGCAUCCGCCGCCUCCCGGGUUCAAGCGAUUCUCCUGCCUCAGCCUCCUGAGUAACUGGGAUUACAGGCGCCUGCCACCACACCCGGCUAAUUUUUAUUUUUUUAGUAGAGAUGGGGUUUCACCAUAUUCGGCAGGCUCGUCUUGAACUCCCGACCUUGUGAUCCACCCACCUUGGCCUCCCAAAAUGCUGAGAUUGGAGGUGUGAACCACCACGCCUGGCCGGUGUCUCUGUGUUGUCUCCUAGAGUGGGUAGUCCUGCUUCUUUUACCCAGUUACUUUCCCUAUUCUUGAAAUGUGGCUAUCACUUCUCUACACAUUACCUCCAUGAUUUGGAAUGGAAAAGGCCACUUUUCUUUUGGUUCUGCCUCUCAAAUUCAACACAGAGGAGCUCCUAGGAUUCCAGUUAUCCUGCCAACAUCUCCAGGAAGAAAGAAGCAACUUGCAUGGGUCUUCUGCUGUUUGCUUACUUAUAAAGACAUCAUUUGCAAGCUGAAGGCUGAGUUUCAUUUGAAACAGGUGCUUAGGUGGUGGUAUUUGUGAAUACUUUUCAUUCCAAGCAAGAAAACUAAAGAAGUAGCAAGUAUGGAUGCUUCAGGGUUUUAAAAAAAUGUCUUCCAGUUUCAGCCACUACCAUGAUGAGCACAGUUGAGACUGCAGCAGUAAAUUCCAAAUAUGUCUUUCUAAUUUGACGUGAAAGAUACUAAAAAUUUAUGUUUGUAUAUUUAAAUCCUGGCUCAUCCUGUGACAUAGAUUUACUGAAUAAGAACAAAGACCCAAUUUUAAACAAAAACCUAGGCCAGGUUCGGUGGCUCACGCCUGUAAUCCCAACACUUUGGGAGGCCGAAGCAGGCGAAUCACUUGAGGUUGGGAGUUCAAGACCAGCCUGACCAACAUGGAGAAACCCCAUCUGUACUAAAUAUAGAAAAUUAGCCGGGUGUGGUGGUGCAUGCCUAUAAUCCCAGCUACUCGGGAGGCUGAAACAGGAGAAUCACUUGAACCCGGGAGACAGGGUUCGCAGUGAACCGAGAUUGCACCACUGCACUCCAGCCUGGGCAACAGAGUGAGACUCCAUCUCAGAAAAAAAAAAAAAACUUUGGACAUAGAGGAGUCGGGGUCAGAGAGGGGAGGAUGAGAGAAUUUCCCAUAUAACUCCUUUUCCUUAAGAAAAAGAAGCAAAAAUGCCUCAUGCAGUGCCAUCUGACUCUAUGGUGUUUCACAUUAUAUAGUUACAUUGUUUUGUAAACGCAUAAGAUUAACUCUUCCUGCAACCCAAGGUGGAUACUUGGAUGUUUGAUUUUUUUUUUUUUUUUUUUUGAGGCAGAGUCUCGCUCUGUUACCCAGGCUGGAGUGACUGGCGUGAUCUCUGCUCACUGCAGUCUGUCCCACCUGGGUUCAAGCGAUUCUCCUGCCUCGGCCUCCCAAGUAGCUAGGAUUAUAGGCGCACACCACCACUCCCAGCCUGAUUUCUUACUCUAGAUAUUAGGUAUAUUGUUAGGCUGAAAAGGCUGGGACUCAGGUACUUUCCCCAGUUGGGACUGAACUUUCUCAUCAGAGAAUGGGCCUCAGAAGCAAUGUUCCCAAACUUGUGGUUGGGUCAUCGUGGAAAAGAAACCUCAAAACAAGAAAAAAAAUUACAAUAAGAAAUGGAUUUUCUUUUUUCCCACAACAGUUAUACAUUAUAAAGAACAGACUGUCGUAGAAAACUGUCCUUGCUUCCAAAUCAGCAGAGGACCAUUGUAUGUAUUGUCAGGUCUUUAUAUAUAAAGAGUGAAACCUUUAUUUAUGCUUCUUUGUGAGUAGAGAAUAAAUUUUAAAACUAAUUAGAUGAAAUUAAGAACAGAGAGUAUUGGAACAUCUCUGUGUUUUCCAGAAUGUUCACUCAGGUCCAUGAAUGCUGUGAUGCUGGGAAGUUAGGGAAGAUUCACCAAAAUUUGAGAGUGAUAAAAAUGGACAAAAUGGGAAAUGUUGAGCACUCUUACUAUUAGUGAGAUUGGUCAAUCAACCCAUUUGAAAUGGGUAAAAAUUACUUUUAGUAAAAUAAUUACAUAUUAUAUAUAAAAUAUUUCUUUUUUUGAGACCUACUGAGUGAGUGAUAAAAGCAUAGUAGAAAUCACUUUGGUUAAAAGUAACUCAAAAUUUUCUCUAAGCUACCUACUCAAGUUUUUCUUUAAUAUUUUGAAAUUGUUCAAGACAGAAUGGAGCCUACAUAUAUGGGUUCCACUAGUAUGUUGAAAAUGUCAUAUCAUGGAGAAUUUGUACCUUCCAGCUGUCUGUUAACCCAUCUUCUCUGUACUUCUGGCACCGUUUUUGGUAGGAUCAUUUGGCAGGGGUAGAGUACCUGUACUUUUGGCACCAUUGAAACCAGCUCUGGCCCACUUGUUUGAAUAGCUAUCAGACUCAGUGUCUCUAUAUGUUUUAUAUUUUUUUCAUUCCACAGUGGAGAGAACCAGUGUUUAAUGCUCUUGAAAUUGUUUCUGUAUCUUCCAUGGUUCAGACCAGAUGCAUUUAACAAAAUGGAUAUAUUCCAGCUGUAGUUGUCCAGUGUUUACUUAAUACAUCUACAUUUUUUUCUUGUCUAUUUUGGUCCCCUUGAUAGGAAGAGCUAUAAUUUUAGGCAGGACGAUACAUGAAUUUGUAGCCAUGCUUCCUUCCUUUCCCUUGCUCUUCCAUGUUAGCUGGCAUUUUUUCUUUUGAAAAGUUAAACAACGGGGUAUGUGCAAUAGAAAUAUAUAUAUAUAUAUAUGUAUAUUUUAAUACUUGUGGACAAUGUUACAAGUUGUUUAAGAACAACAAAAUCACCAAUGUCUUCCAUUUUGAGAUGUGUAUAGUUUUGUAAGCAUUAGUGCUUGGUAGCAUAUUGUAGUGCCAUGUUAGGGGUUAGUGCAUGAGCCUAGUGAUUUUAAGCUUCAGGAUGAAUUAUUGAUAAUAACAAAUAGUGUAAAAAGAGUGGAAAAUCCAAACCUUUUCUUUUUCCAUAAUGUCUAAAUCUGUUAUAUUCUCCCUGGGGAAAAGAGAUUAAGGCCCAAAAGACUCAUUUAUGAAUAGAAAUGUGGGGUCAAAAUCUGAGAUACUAUGAGGACAUUUCAGCUUUCCAUAAGGUAUCUGGAAACCAGCUGUCUUUGUGUCUUACGAAACCUCAAGUCAAAAUCAGACCCCAUUUAAUUAUUCUGCUUUGCUCUUUUUUGGGGGGUUAUGGGGGGAGAUAGAGUCUCACUCUGUCACCAGGCUGGAGUGCAGUGGCACAAUCUCGGCUCACUGCAACCUCUGCCUCUUGGGUUCAAGUGAUUCUCGUGCCUCAGCCUCCUGAGUAGCUGGGACUACAGGCACGCGCCACCACGCCCAGCCAAUUUUUGUAUUUUUAGUAGAGACGGGGUUUUGCCGUGUUGGCCAGGCUGGUCUCAAACUCCUGACCUCAAGUAAUCCACCCGGCCUGCUCUUUUCAUGUCUUAACAUGGCAUGUCUUUUAGGUUCAUUGUUUUCCUACUCCCUGUAUGUCAAAAAAUUACAUUUUGCAUGUCUUGUGGAGAUGCUGUUACUUGCUUUAGUGAGUGCUUUUCUAAUCUGCAGACCAUUUACAUUUCCUAUUUGCAGCAUGCUGUGUGCAAACACUCCGUAAUUUGGAGUAUUCAAUUAUUUGUUAGGGCUCUUCCUAUUUCCAAAUGUGCUGAAUUGUCUGUUGAUGGGAUUUUCAGACCUUUUCAUGAGAACUGGAAAUGUAGCUGGGUGGCACCUACCUAGGUUGCUAUGUAAUAAGUAGACUCUUUCUCUUGGGUAUAGUAAGCCUUAGACAGCUUUCACUUUUAUCUGCUUUACUUGUGGAAAUAAAACAGUUGUUUUGUUCUGAAAUAAGAAGAUAGCUUUCUGUAGAGAAGGAAUUCCUACCUCUAAAAGCUGCCUUGAAAACUCAGAAGUGGCAGUUUUCUGAGGUGAUUUUUUCAAUUUCAGUAUUAGGGAGAGUCUAGCAUUUGCUGAUACAGAUUCUACAUAACUAAUGUAUGAUAGCAAAUGCAAAACUAUUAUAAUGUGGUAUAUCUUGUGCAGACACAGGUUAGAACAAGUAGACUCUGGCAGCAGAUCUCCAGAGACCCAAGUUUAGAUUCUCAUCGUGUAUCUGAAGUAGUUACACUCUUGACUUAAGUAGUUUAGUGCCUGGAAGAAUCCAUUACUGAAAAGCAUUUAAAUUAAAAAAAAAAAAAAACAAAAAAACUGAAAAGGUAAUGAAUACAGAAUAGCACAGUAUAUAGGAAAGGAUAUUUCCUGUUGCAAAAAAAAAAAAAAAAAAAAAAA